GAUCAGGUUCGACCAAGACUCCAAAUUCAACAAUGACCCCAAGUACAGGUUGUGAUAGGUGAGACAAUUGGUGUGGAUGAAGAUGUGGAAUAUGGCGAGUAUUACGAGCAGCAACACGAGCUUGUGAUGAUUGAUAGAAUAGAUUUUUCUUCUUUGACGUAUGAGGAGAUGCGGAGGUUUGAGUUUGUAGACUUGCAGACGGUUUAUGAUUUCUACAAUGAGUAUGGGCGGAUGCAAGGAUUCUUUAUUCGGAGGUCGAAGGUUGGAAGAAGCACAAAGAGUGGAUCGGAGGGAGAAAUUUUAUGGCAAUUUUUUUUUUGAUCGAGACAAGGUGAGAGAGAUGCCAAAUACAUUCAUCGGGUAGAAAGGAAAAUGGAUCCUCGACCAAUUACACGAUGUGGGUGCGGUGCACAAAUAAAGGUUCAUGUUGACCAAAGCACUAGCCGUUGGUUCGUAGAGAAGUUUUGUGACGAACACAACCAUAAAAUUCUAGAUGCAAGGUUCUGGGGGUUGUUGCGUUUUCAUAGAGUAAUCAACGAAGGGGACAUGCAUCAAAUUAACUCGAUGAGAAAAACUCGGAUGCGUGUGCGAACCAUAUUUCGUGCAUUUGCCACCCAAUUAAUGCGGGGAAUUUGAGACAGUUAGAUUUGAAAUUAAAGACAUUUACAACAAUAGAGAAGCAAAGAAGAGUGGGAGCGAGUGAUACAAACAUGUUUUUGAAAAUUCUCAUUGGACGAGGAGAGGAGGCUGCACAAUAUAUUUUGGUGUGAUGGUAGUAACCGUCACGACUAUAGUGCGUUUGGGGAUGUUCUGGGGUUCGACGCAACUUAUGGGAGGAAUAGGUAUAAGUGUCCGCUUGUAAUAUUUUUGGGUUUGGAUAAUCACAUGCAGACUGUUGUAUUUGGUUGUGCAAUUCUCAGCAACAAAUUAGAGGAAAGUUAUGUUUGGUUGUUGCGGGUAUUUCUUGAGGCAAUGAAAGGACAAGAACUGAAAUUGAUGUUAACCGAUGGAGAUUUGGCAAUGAAGAAUGCAAUCAAUGCUGUUUUUCCAAAUGCACAUCACAGGCUGUGCAGCUGACACCUACUACGAAAUGUGACUGCCCGUAUUCGUCGGCCCAUGUUUCUUCGCAAGUUUCGAGUUUGCCUGAUGGGUAACAUUGAGGUAGAUGAGUUUUAGAACCUAUGAAGCGAUAUUGUGGAAGAGUUUGGGUUGCAACAAAAUUCGUGGGUACUAGAUUUGUAUGAACGCAAGCAUAUGUGAGCUAAUGCGUAUAUUAGAGGCAAUUUUUUUUGCUGGGAUGAAGACGACGUCUCGAUGUGAGGCAUUAAACAUGUAGAUUGGGAAUUUUAUUGGUAAUGGAUACAAUCUAUGGGAAUUUAUUGAGCAUUUUCAGCACUAUCUCGAGUUCAUGAGAAGAAGAGCUAGUCGCCGAUUAUAGAUCUGUGUAUGGGCAACCCAUUGUUAAGUCGAAGUUGGAGGCUUUAGAAAGCUACGCAGCAACGGUAUACACGAAAGAGGUUUUUGAACUAUUCCGGGAGGCCCUCCUUUUGGCCAGCAAUGUAAGAGUUGUUUCUUGCAAGAAACUAGCACGUGUUCCCUGUUUGAGGUCACCAUGUACUGCUAGGAUCGGUCUUGGAGUGUUGCUUAGGACGAGGCGGAUGACGAAUUUACUUGCUUGUGCUUGCAUAUGGAAUCAUUUGACAUUCUUUGUGUGCACAUGGUGGGGGUGUUUGUUUAUCUGAACAUCACUCAGCUUCCGGUGAAGACCAUAUACGAACGAUGGACGAAGAAGGCCAAGCAACCUGCAACGGACCCAUCUAGACAGGUAGGCGAGAUUCCUGAUGUUGCGUACAUGAGUAUGCACGUAGCUUUGCUAAAUGAUUGAAAAGAAUUAAUCAAGUUGGCCUACCGGUACUUUGAAGACUAUUCUGAACUGAAAUCCAUGAUAGGGAACCAAAGUAAUGCGUUGAGAGAGAAGCAUCGGUUAAGGCUUGGCAUAGCUGAUUGUGGAGAAAAGGUAUCUGUUCGUAAUCCGUUGCGGGUGAGACAUAAUGGAUGAGGCCGACGAGGGGUUACUGUUAGGGAAAAAACUCGGCAUGUGCAACACUGCAGUAAGUGCGGCAAAGAUAGCCCAUAACUCCAGGAAUUGUGUAGAUUUUGGAAGCGAAAGACACAGGGGCAAGGCCGCAGCUAUGGAGGAUUGGGAGAACAUGUCGGCGGCCGAGGAGUGUAACUACACGGAUGAAAUGAAUGUUGAUGAAGAUGAGUAUCGCAUUUGAAGAUUUGGCUUUUGCAAAUUCAGGAUCUGUAAGGGUUUUGAUGCUUAGUUGAGUUUUUUGAAAUGUAAGGACUUGUGUGAAGAUUUUAGCAGCUACUCUCUUUGCAAUGACAUGCUUUCAUGUUGAAGUAGGGAAAACUUUUGCUUUAAAUUUUUGAUUGCAUUAUAGUCAAUGAGUGUGCAAAUGUGAUUUGUAUCCAACAUCUUAAAUCAUAUUUGUUUUAGAAAAGUCAAACUUGACUGUCAAUAUAGAAUGGUGGUGUUAUAUGGACUUGUGUCAUCACUUCCAUUUUGCUAAUGAAUUCAUGCGUAUUUUCAUAUCCCACCAUUUUGUU